UAGGGAAUCUUCGGCAAUGGACGAAAGUCUGACCGAGCAACGCCGCGUGAGUGAAGAAGGUUUUCGGAUCGUAAAACUCUGUUGUUAGAGAAGAACAAGGACGUUAGUAACUGAACGUCACCUGACGGUAUCUAACCAGAAAGCCACGGCUAACUACGUGCCAGCAGCCGCGGUAAUACGUAGGCGGCAAGCGUUGUCCGGAUUUAUUGGGCGUAAAGCGAGCGCAGGCGGUUUCUUAAGUCUGAUGUGAAAGCCCCCGGCUCAACCGGGGAGGGUCAUUGGAAACUGGGAGACUGGAGUGCAGAAGAGGAGAGUGGAAUUCCAUGUGUAGCGGUGAAAUGCGUAGAUAUAUGGAGGAACACCAGUGGCGAAGGCGGCUCUCUGGUCUGUAACUGACGCUGAGGCUCGAAAGCGUGGGGAGCAAACAGG
rnacentral:rRNA from 1 species